UACGUAGGUGGCAAGCGUUAUCCGGAAUUAUUGGGCGUAAAGAGCGCGCAGGUGGUUAAUUAAGUCUGAUGUGAGAGCCCACGGCUUAACCGUGGAGGGUCAUUGGAAACUGGUUGACUUGAGUGCAGAAGAGGGAAGUGGAAUUCCAUGUGUAGCGGUGAAAUGCGUAGAGAUAUGGAGGAACACCAGUGGCGAAGGCGGCUUCCUGGUCUGCAACUGACACUGAGGCGCGAAAGCGUGGGGAGCAAACAGG
rnacentral:rRNA from 1 species